AAUAUAUCGGAACGUACCCUAGAGUGGGGGAUAACGUAGCGAAAGUUACGCUAAUACCGCAUACGAUCUAAGGAUGAAAGUGGGGGAUCGCAAGACCUCAUGCUCGUGGAGCGGCCGAUAUCUGAUUAGCUAGUUGGUAGGGUAAAAGCCUACCAAGGCAUCGAUCAGUAGCUGGUCUGAGAGGACGACCAGCCACACUGGAACUGAGACACGGUCCAGACUCCUACGGGAGGCAGCAGUGGGGAAUUUUGGACAAUGGGCGAAAGCCUGAUCCAGCAAUGCCGCGUGAGUGAAGAAGGCCUUCGGGUUGUAAAGCUCUUUUGUCAGGGAAGAAACGGUGAGAGCUAAUAUCUUUUGCUAAUGACGGUACCUGAAGAAUAAGCACCGGCUAACUACGUGCCAGCAGCCGCGGUAAUACGUAGGGUGCAAGCGUUAAUCGGAAUUACUGGGCGUAAAGCGUGCGCAGGCGGUUUUGUAAGUCUGAUGUGAAAUCCCCGGGCUCAACCUGGGAAUUGCAUUGGAGACUGCAAGGCUAGAAUCUGGCAGAGGGGGGUAGAAUUCCACGUGUAGCAGUGAAAUGCGUAGAUAUGUGGAGGAACACCGAUGGCGAAGGCAGCCCCCUGGGUCAAGAUUGACGCUCAUGCACGAAAGCGUGGGGAGCAAACAGGAUUAGAUACCCUGGUAGUCCACGCCCUAAACGAUGUCUACUAGUUGUCGG
rnacentral:rRNA from 1 species